UUAGUUUUUGAAGUAUGGCCUGCCCGCUGACUUUGGUGUUGAAGGGCCGCGGUAUUUUGACCGUGCAAAGGUAGCAUAGUCAUUAGUUCUUUAAUUGUGAUCUGGUAUGAAUGGCUUGACGAGACAUGGGCUGUCUUAAUUUUGAAUUGUUUAUUGAAUUUGGUCUUUGAGUUAAAAUUCUUAGAUGUUUUUAUGGGACGAGAAGACCCUAUAGAGUUUAACAUUUAUUAUGGUCCUUUUUCUGUUUGUGAGGGUUCACUUGGCCGUCUAAUAUGUUUUGUUGGGGUGAUGGGAGGGAAUUAAUUUAACCCCUCCUUUUUAUUAUUAUAUUUAUUUAUAUUUACUUGAUCCAUUUAUUUUGAUUGUAAGAUUAAAUUACCUUAGGGAUAACAGCGUUAUCUUCCUAGAGAGUUCUUAUCGGCAGGAGGGUUUGCGACCUCGAUGUUGGAUUAAGGUUUAUUUUCGGUGUAGGAGCUGAAAUUAUUAGGUCUGUUCGACCUUUAAA
rnacentral:rRNA from 1 species